UAUGAUGUAACUCAUAGGCCAAAACAUGGAGCAUUACAGUUUUUUUGUUUUUUGAGAUGGAGUCUUGCUCUGUUGCCCAGGCUGGAGUGCAGUGAUGAUUAUCUAGGCUCACUGCAACCUCUGCCUCCUGGGUUUAAGCGAUUCUCCUGCCUUAGCCUCCCAAGUAGCUGGAAUUACAGGUGCCCACCACCACACCCAGCUAAUUUUUGUAUUUUUAGUAAGACGGGGUUUCACCAUGUUGGCCAGGCUGGUCUGGAACUCCUGACCUCAAGUGAUCUGCCUGUCUCAGCCUCCUAAAGUGCUGGGAUUGCAGGCAUGAGCCACCACACCCAGCCUACAGUUUUGUGCUGUGUUAACAUUAUACCUAUCUAGAACAUUUUCAAGUAGUAGUAUCAUGAAAUUCUAAAUGUAUAAUAUCUUUUAAAAUGCAUUUCAGUCCACCUCUGGAGGUAUGAAGGAGGCUAUCCAGCCCUCACAGAAGUCAUGAAUAAACUCAGAGAAAAUAAGGAAUUUUUGGAAUUUCGUAAGGCAAGAAGUGACAUGCUUCUCUCCAGGAAGAAUCAGCUCCUG
rnacentral:sRNA from 1 species